rnacentral:snoRNA from 1 species
AACACAUUUUUUUUGGUGUUCAGUGAUGAUUACUCUUAGGGCAGAUUCUGAGUGGGGGAACGUCUGAUUCUCUCACCUGAUCUGAAUAACGAGUUAAAGAGUCUGAGAACACCAGAAACACC